AGCGAACGCUGGCGGCAGGCCUAACACAUGCAAGUCGAACGAACCUUUCGGGGUUAGUGGCGGACGGGUGAGUAACACGUGGGAACGUGCCUUUAGGUUCGGAAUAACUCAGGGAAACUUGUGCUAAUACCGGAUGUGCCCUUCGGGGGAAAGAUUAAUCGCCUUUAGAGCGGCCCGCGUCUGAUUAGCUAGUUGGUUGAGGUAAUGGCUCACCAAGGCGACGAUCAGUAGCUGGUCUGAGAGGAUGAUCAGCCACAUUGGGACUGAGACACGGCCCAAACUCCUACGGGAGGCAGCAGUGGGGAAUCUUGCGCAAUGGGCGAAAGCCUGACGCAGCCAUGCCGCGUGAAUGAUGAAGGUCUUAGGAUUGUAAAAUUCUUUCACCGGGGACGAUAAUGACGGUACCCGGAGAAGAAGCCCCGGCUAACUUCGUG
rnacentral:rRNA from 1 species